UUGGUUAAUCCUGCCAGUAAUCAUAUGCUUGUUUCAAAGAAAAAACCAUGCAUGUCUUAGUGCUCGCCUUCAAUAAGCGAAACCGAAAAUGGCUCAUUCAAUCAGCUAUGGUUUAUUGGAUCAUACCCGUUUAAUGGAUAACUAUAAUAACUCUAGAGCUAAUACAUACCCCGAAGCCCAUAUCCGCCAGGGAAUGGAUGCACUUAUAAGAUCAGAAGUCAAUCAGGUAGUGUUCUAUUGCCUUCGGGUGGCAGCUCCCCUGCCUGUCGUCCUUCUGGUGACUCUGGAUAAUUGUUACAGAUCGCAGUCGGCCUUGCGUUGGCGACGGGUCCUUCAAAUGUCUGCCCUAUCAACUUUCGAUAAUAGGUGACCUGCCUACCAUGGUGAUAAGAGGUAACGGGAAAAAUGUUUCGAUUCCGGAGAAAGAGAGUGUCUGAGAAACGACUUCCGCUUCCAAAGGAGGCAGCAGGCACGCAAAUAAACCCUUUCCCAGUACGGGGAGGUGGUGACGAAAAAUACAGAUUCGGAACUCUUAUUAAGGCUUUGUAAUCGGAAUGAGUGAAUUCUAAAUCCUUUCACGAUGAUCAAUAAGAGGGAAAGUCUGGUGCCAGUAGUCACCGUACCUCCAGCUCCAAUAGCGUAUUUU
rfam:Schistocephalus solidus strain NST_G2 genome assembly, scaffold: SSLN_contig0004647